AUUGAACGCUGGCGGCAUGCUUUACACAUGCAAGUCGAACGGUAACAGGCCGCAAGGUGCUGACGAGUGGCGAACGGGUGAGUAAUGCAUCGGAACGUGCCCAGUCGUGGGGGAUAACGCAGCGAAAGCUGCGCUAAUACCGCAUACGAUCUAUGGAUGAAAGCGGGGGACCGUAAGGCCUCGCGCGAUUGGAGCGGCCGAUGUCAGAUUAGGUAGUUGGUGGGGUAAAGGCUCACCAAGCCAACGAUCUGUAGCUGGUCUGAGAGGACGACCAGCCACACUGGGACUGGGACACGGCCCAGACUCCUACGGGAGGCAGCAGUGGGGAAUUUUGGACAAUGGGCGCAAGCCUGAUCCAGCAAUGCCGCGUACAGGAAGAAGGCCUUCGGGUUGUAAACUGCUUUUGUACGGAACGAAACGGUCCUGGUUAAUACCUGGGGCUAAUGACGGUACCGUAAGAAUAAGCACCGGCUAACUACGUGCCAGCCGCCGCAGUAACAC
rnacentral:rRNA from 1 species